GGGGAAUAUUGGACAAUGGGGGCAACCCUGAUCCAGCAAUGCCGCGUGUGUGAAGAAGGUCUUCGGAUUGUAAAGCACUUUCGACGGGGACGAUGAUGACGGUACCCGUAGAAGAAGCCCCGGCUAACUUCGUGCCAGCAGCCGCGGUAAUACGAAGGGGGCUAGCGUUGCUCGGAAUGACUGGGCGUAAAGGGCGUGUAGGCGGUUUACACAGUCAGAUGUGAAAUCCCCGGGCUUAACCUGGGAGCUGCAUUUGAUACGUGUAGACUAGAGUGUGAGAGAGGGUUGUGGAAUUCCCAGUGUAGAGGUGAAAUUCGUAGAUAUUGGGAAGAACACCGGUGGCGAAGGCGGCAACCUGGCUCAUGACUGACGCUGAGGCGCGAAAGCGUGGGGAGCAAACAGGAUUAGAUACCCUGGUAGUCCACGCUG
rnacentral:rRNA from 1 species